UCUGUGAAUGUAACGAAAUAAAUAGUGUAAUCUGAUUAUUUGUUGCAAAAUUACAUGUAAUCCUGUUACGAUUAUAUGCUACCAAAUGCCUCCCCUAAUGAAUUGCGAAAAAGCUUCUACCCUAUAGCAUAAUCCCGUUCCUUCUAAAGUACCUGAAUAACCUUUUUAUUAUUUUCUCAAAUUUAUUCCACGAUCAAACAUAACCUCAAAAUCAUCUCACUAGAUAGG
rnacentral:lncRNA from 1 species